rnacentral:rRNA from 1 species
UGAACGCUGGCGGCGUGCCUAAUACAUGCAAGUCGAGCGAACAGAUAAGGAGCUUGCUCCUUUGACGUUAGCGGCGGACGGGUGAGUAACACGUGGGUAACCUACCUAUAAGACUGGAAUAACUCCGGGAAACCGGGGCUAAUGCCGGAUAAUAUUUAGAACCGCAUGGUUCUAAAGUGAAAGAUGGUUUUACUAUCACUUAUAGAUGGACCCGCGCCGUAUUAGCUAGUUGGUGGGGUAAUGGCUUACCAAGGCAACGAUACGUAGCCGACCUGAGAGGGUGAUCGGCCACACUGGAACUGAGACACGGUCCAGACUCCUACGGGAGGCAGCAGUAGGGAAUCUUCCGCAAUGGGCGAAAGCCUGAUGGAGCAACGCCGCGUGAGUGAUGAAGGUCUUCGGAUCGUAAAACUCUGUUAUUAGGGAAGAACAAAUGUGUAAGUAACUGUGCACGUCUUGACGGUACCUAAUCAGAAAGCCACGGCUAACUACGUGCCAGCAGCCGCGGUAAUACG